AUGGCUCAACGAUACAACUUCCUGUACAUAGUGAGAUACACACCACUGAUUCUCGCUGUUGCAACAGGCAGUUUUGCAGAUAAAAUUGGGCCAAAGGAUGAAGAGGUCAACAUUGUUGGAAAAGAAACAGACACUGUUACUCUGAAAUGUUCAUAUGAGUCAAGCAGUAUUUACAUUUAUCUUUUCUGGUACAAACAAUAUCCUCACAGUGCACCACAGUUUUUACUGUAUCAAGGUGCAAAGUCAAGAGCAGAUGAUGAUAGCACUCCUGAUGAUGAUCGAUUAGAGGCAAAAACAACCUCAGUCUCGACUGAACUUACUAUCAGAGGUGUACAGCUCUCAGAUUCUGCACUUUAUCACUGUGCUCUUCAAGUAGGAGCACAGUGA